CAAUCAUCGAAAGCUCUAGCUUUCAUUACAGCUUCCUCGUCUUCAUCAUCAUCUUCUUCGUCCUCUUCCUUUCUUCUCAGAGGUUUAUCACUGUACCAUGAGGUGGUUGCUUCUUCAAUGGCUUUUUUCGUCUGCUCUUGCCAAUCAUUCAUUAUAUUCAUCUCUGUUAAUCCAGCAUCCUCUAUGCACAUUGUAGGCAUCCUGCAAAACAAAAGUUUAAUCGCCUUUUUUAAUAUCAGAAGGGUAUAAGAUUUGUGAUGAGCUUGAUUUUGUGUUUACCUGUGACUUGGUUGGAAAACCUGAGCUAUCAUCCUCUCUCUCUGUGUAGAGAGCGGUCCACCCACGAUGCUUGCUGGACCGAAUAUAAGAGGUUGGUGCUUGUGUUCGUGACCUUCUGAUACUGAAGCUCUUCCUUCUAACACAUCUUGUGCAAAUGUGGCACAAGUGAUUGGUUGUGCUGGGUUAGAGUACCGUACCCUCGCAGCAGCGUCUCUGUGCCAGGUUGUUGAUGCUCUAAUGACAUUGAAAAAAUUGGAAUUUAAAAGUAAAGUACCAAAAGUUUGUCGGUCAUCAUUUUCCUUGUUGUCUUUGCAAGGCUGAUAAAAUGAGGAAAAUGAUAAGAUGAGAAACAAACAGAAGUACUGUCGUGAUAAAAAAAAAAAACUUAAACUGCAAUGACAAAACUAGAAGCAUGCAAACUUUAAGGCUAUGCCAUUCUUCUAACAGCAAUAGAGUUAGCAACCAUAUUUGCCUCUUUAACCAGAUACCUAGGUAUUCACUAGGCUUUUUCUGAUAUGUAUUUUGUUUUAAAAUAAUUUUAAGAAGGAAAAGAGACUUACUUCAAGCGAACGGCUAUAGAAAGUCCAAAAGGCACUGCCACUACUACUGUAGCAAUCUGAAAAAUUAAUAUUUUGGCGACAAGGUUACAAGAAAAGACCAUAUAAUAUUACUGUAGCCAUGAAGAUAAAGUUCAGCAUUCCCGUACCCCAAAACUCAGGGAUGUGAUCACAAAUUCUGUUGCUUCAUCAGCAGUAGUGAUUCCAUAAAUAAACAUUGGAGUUCCAUCUGAUUUUUUGGUCCAACCACUAAAGUAUCUAGAAAUAAAAGGGUUGUUAGGUCCAGGAUGGAGCUGGAGAUCUUAGAUCUGACUGCCGAACAUAAGCACAAUGGGUACUUGUAAAAGAAGAUAGACUUACCGGCCUAAUCGAACACUACAGGCAACUGAAGCGAACAAAACGAAGGACCAGCUGGCAGAAAUCGCAAGCCAUUUCAGGUAUCCCUAGUAAAACGAAUCACAUUUGAUAUAUGAACAAACUAAUCGCAAGCCAAUCAUUCAUUAUAUUCAUCUAUAUGCACAUUGUUGGCAUCCUACAAAACCAAGUUUAAUCGCUUUUUAAAAUCUCUAAAGGGAAUAAAAUUUGUGAUGAGCUUGAUUUUGUGUUUACCUGUGACUUGGUUGGAAAACCUGAGCUAUCAUCCUCUCUCUCUGUGUAGAGAGCGGUCCACCCACGAUGCUUGCUGGACCGAAUAUAAGAGGUUGGUGCUUGUGUUCGUGACCUUCUGAUACCGAAGCUCUUCCUUCUAACACAUCUUGUGCAAAUGUAGCACAAGUGAUUGGUUGUGCUGGGUUAGAGUACCGUACCCUCGCAGCAGCGUCUCUGUGCCAGGUUUCAGCUUUCUUUGUACGAUCAUCAAGAGCAUCCCGAGAAAACCCAUCCUCUCCAUCCUGAUCAAAAGAUCAUAACAAUUUUCUUCGUUUAUAUGUUUAUCAAGUAGUUGUUAGCACGUAAAACUAACACCGAGGUAAGCUACCUUCAACUGUCUUUCCUUUAUUGCAGAGAGCAUUUCCUCUUAUCUCUUUAGCAUUUCCAACAGAUCAAUAGCCUGUAGCGAAGUUCAAUCAUAAGAUAAAGCCUCAACUCGUGACAAAUCAUAGGAUUCCAAUAAAUGAUUUUUAGACAAACCUUACAAACAGCCAAGUUAAUUGAGGAGAGCCAGGCCUGCAGAGGGAAAAGUCAUAGACAAGGCUUGGAAGAAAAUGAAAUUAGAGAAAGCAGCAAAACAAAAAAGUGGGACAAACCUCUCUCUCUUCUUCGCUGUCAUCAUCUGGAAUAUCAUCUUCUCCAGAUUCAACCGGAGUCGACAAGGCUGCUGCUUUAGUGGAACGUCCACGUCGCUCCUUCCUCUCUUUAAUUUCAAGAAGCUUUGCCUCUGCAGCCUUUUGACGUUUGAACCGAGCUAUCUAUAAAGUACCGUAAUCAUGAACAUGCAGUUCAAAAUCCAAAAACCUUAAACUUCAUUCUCAUCAGAAUAUAAACAAAAGAAACAGGCUGAGUCUACCUUCAGAGCCUUUCGAUCUGCAGGUGCACCGGAACCUCCUCGUGAAGAAGCCUCCAACUCCUCAUCCGGAACAAGCUCCAUUGCCUCACAGAACGAAAAGAACUCCUAGACACAAUAAGACUAUACAUCAAUCUCAAAAAAUCAAACUAAAUGCUCAUUCACUAGCACUAGCAUCAAAAUGAAGUAACAACCUGCAAACAACGCAGAAAAAAACGUACCUUCAACUUUGCAUACGAGGCUUUGACAAUUUGAAUCCGGUCUUCCUGUAUGAUUUUCUCCGUCAGGUCCGCAAGAUAGUAAGGCACCUAUAAUCACAAGAAAAUAUAUCCCUCAUCACUUUAAAGAUAUGUCAACUCAGAACACAAAAUCUCUUAUGAUCCCCACACAGAGUAAGUUCAAUUGAAGAGGCCACAAUUCAAAAUUAGCUAAAACUAGAAGCUAAAGUUUUUCACUUUCUGAUCUUCCACACCAAACUAAUAACAAAAGUAGAACACAAACUUACUACUAAAAAAAUCCAAACAACAGAGACUGAAUUGCAUAGAAAGUUACCAAAAGAUAUUUGAGAUUGUUGGUGCUAAUAUCUUCUUUAGUCUCGUUAGACGAAAACAGCGCCAGCUUCCCGAUCAUAUCUUCGCACUUCUGAAACAUCUCACAUCCUUUCUUCACAACAUCCUAACAAACCAAAAACAAUAGAACAAAGCAUUUCCGGAUAUGCCCAAUUCAGUAAACCUCUCGAUCUGAAAUACCCAUUUCAGAUAAACCUUAAUCGAAUUUGAAUACUAAAAAAAAGUUCGAAGCUUCCACCUGAUCAACACCGGACUCUGAAGCAGCAAGAUGAAUUUUCCUUGCUUGCUCAAAUAGCGCCGAUAAAGGCAUUUCCUCCAUAGCUAGACCACCCAUCACAGACUAAUAAGCAAUUUCUCAAAAAUCCUCAAUGAAAACGAGAAUGUGUCACCGAAAUCGAGUAUCUUCGAGAAGAGGAUCAGUGAAGUCUUUGAGAUUUUUUUAGGGUUCCAAAUCGAAAUCUGACUAAGGGAAUUUACUGAAUUUAAUAACUGCGAUGAGCUUUAUAAGAUACGGUUGAGAUCAUGCCACGUCAAGUGAAGAUGAUAAUUGAAAAUAAAUAUAAGCCGUUAGAUUUGUAGACAACCUCAAACCGCACGUAACACGAAUCUUGACCCAUUGGCAACUCAUGAUUGGUUUUCUAAACUGCAACCGCCGGGAAUGUGGUCUGAAACUAUGAAUUAUGAAGAAUGUUUGUAGUUUUUAAAAUGGAUUUUGGUUUUGGUGUUUUUUUGUUAAUUUGAAUGGAAAUGAAAUUUUCCUGAUUUUUGUAUGUGUUACCGCACCAGCUGUAUAACCAGUUCGGAUUGUCGUAGUGCUAUUGAUUUGACCCACCUAUAGCGGUAAACCUAGGAGGAAUGGUUGAUUCUGAUACAUUUCACACUACAUAUAGCUUGGAGAGGAAAUGAAUUGACUGAAUUAACUGUACUAUGAUACAUACACAGCACAAUAAUAACCAUUAUUUAAGCUCCCACGCACAUGCACGCGGAGAACAACAGCCUGCUAAGCAUCCAACGCUAGAGCAAUGCUUCAGAAAGUGACCUGAAAUGAGGAUUGUAUGUUCAGACAAGUUACUUGUUAAAUAAAUAAGAUAUUCAUGUGUGAAUUGAUCAGGAGAUUACGGAGUGAAAGGUUCUUACAGUAAUUGCGCCUAUAUGGCAAGAUACAUUUCAGUUACGGUAAUAUUGGUUGACCGGGUAAGGGUAGCGAUUGGCGACUUGGCUGAAAAAGUUUUAAAAUAUAUUAUGAAGUGAGAAAUGUGAAGAGUAAAAGUUAUCUAAAGUAGUUGAGGAUCUUUAUGAGCAGAACCUGAGCAAUCCCAAAAGACUUGUCGUCACCCAUUUUUUCAAGUCAAGCCUGGUGGAAGAACUUAAAAAGCCUGCCAACUCUAUUACGAUUAUCUGACAUAGAAGGAACAAAAAGAACGUAAUUAUCGUUUAGGGAUAUAUAAGAACAGAAGGAGAAGGUAAAUGUUGUGUUCACCCCUACAGAGGACUUACCUGAGAGAUGAUAGUUGAGGUUAUUGUAACGAGAAACAUAUUCUCUCUAAGGAUUUGUUUGAAGGUUUGGUCUACACUUCGGAUUUCAAACUCAUUAAAAACCUGCAUUAUUUCAAAAAGACAGAGAAUGAUCAACAUAUUCGCAUAUCAACGCAAAUUAAAAGUUUGGGAAAAAUCGGACAUUACCAGGCAGAAGACUAAGGAAUUGAAUACAAAUGUGUUCAUCACUUUUUCCGCAUUGCCGGUAUGACCAUGCUUCAGCUUCAGUAGCUUCUCAGAAUUUAUGAGUACCAGCGACAGCACUAGGUAAAUUACCUGAAGGUAUUUCAUGACAGAAGCAUUAUUAGAGGUCUCCAAGUCGAUGUUUUUGUCUUUAAUCUAAAUAGUUAAUCAGUUAUUCACCAAGGGAUUGUAUUUGCUCCUUGAAAACUAUGAAGGAGUAAAAGAUAUUAUCGGACAUUAACCUCCACAUAAAAUCAAUCAAGAAUUUACCCAACAUACCUGUAUUAUCAACUUGGACCACAUCGCCUUGGUUAUAAGAGGAUCUCUGGAAAAAAAAAAAGGGAAAAGAAAGGUAUGCAUAUGUACGAUCAGUUUGCGUAUAUUUACGAAGAACAGAUAGUGUGUUUUAACAAGAAGUGCAAAACCAACAGUUUCUUCCAAAACUUCAGCAUCAAUACAAUAAUGUCUCUUUCUAAGCAACUAUCUUAUUAAUUAAAUCUUAUCAUUGAUCCUAUUCAGAUUUUGUACCUUAUACCAACCGGUGGCUUUCCCAUUAAGUGGUGACCAGAACUUGGUCUGUAUGCCAACGCUAAUGCUCCUAAGAUGUCGAUAACAAGAUUAAGCCACAGAAACUGCAUCAGUGAAAAGCAAAACUGGGUUAGGGAAAAGCAAAAACUGGGUUAGGGAAAAGGUUCCCAAUCGUGGAAAAGCUGGAUUAUAAGAUGAUGAAGUAACAAAGGGAUAACAUUUAAGAACCUGCACGACGUUAAGUGGAAAUGCGUCAUAAACUACAACCUCAACCACACAGAUAGCCAAUGCUGAUACACUGACAGUGAGCCGGAAUAGGAUAGAUCUCUGGACAUUGGUGUAUAGAGAUCGAGACCAUAUGAUACACUGCAUUAUCCAAACAAGCCUCUAAUAUCUUAUCAGAAUGAUUUAAACGAAAUUUAACUGCCAAAAGGUCAACGUUUGCUCAUCAUUUUUGUAUGCAUUCUAUACGCCGCUACUGCCCAAGUUUGUCAUUUCAACCACGCAUAUAAUAAACCAACCUUGACAAUCGUAGCAAAAUUAUCAUCUAGUAUAAUGAUAUCGGAAUUCUCUUUUGCUGCUGCGGUCCCUCCAACUCCCAUUGCAAGGCUAACAUGAGCCUGUGCAAAGAAAACAUGAAUCAUAGGUUGUAGUGUUGAUGGAUAUGUCUUUCUAUGUUUACAAUUCAUAUUCUCUUUGACAUAGUGCAAUAAGUCUUUAGAGUUUUAAUAUGAUAACUACAGACCUCGCGUAGUGUCUUUGGAUCAUGUAUUCCCAUCCCAGUGGCUGCAACUAUAUGCCCUCUUUUCUUCAGUGCUUGGACAAGCAGAAGGUUGUCGUCGGGAGAAGAUUGAGCAAACACCUUCAUAGAGUAGUGUGUUAGUUUUUGGCUCAAUCUAGUUCUUGAACCAGUCGGCUUAUAUAGACCUAUACAAAAUUUAUGUCAAAAUAGCAAUCUGACCAACAAAGUAGUUUCCCAUUAACACAUUGGUGUACAACAAGUUCACUCAGCAAGGUGUCACAGUGGCACAACUGAUACUGAAUUCAGUUAUCUUAUCCCUUGGUUCCACUCAUCGAUGUAUCAUGAUGUGCACAGAUGAAUAUAUAUGUUAAACCAUAAAUAUAGAAGAAUGGAUUCAUACUAAGAUGUCUCCGGCGAUCUGCUCUCUUUGUGGAUCGGUUAGUUCACGGAAUUGGGCUCCUGUCCUUAUAUUACGGCCAGAUGCAUCUGUCAGUAUCCCGCAUUCAAUUGCUAUUGCUUGUGCAGUCAAAACGUCAUAGUCCAUCACCAUGCAAACCUGAAAGUCAACAUAUUCCACUUAGAAAGUAGACCAAUAAAAGGGGUUGACCCAAAGAAAAAAAUUUGCUUAAACAUAUUGUCUUCCGCAACAAAUAUUAAAGGUAUCACUGCAUAUGAUAAAGUACCUAAUAGUCAGGUUAACAACUCAGAAAAUAUUACUAUGCCAAACUCAGUUACAGAUAACAGAAGUUCAGAUCGAGUAGAAAAUUUCUCUCCACUAAUAAAAGUUCAAAAACUUCAAAUGUCAUGCUCAUGCAUGAGGAAGAAUAGUAAUACAGGCAAUAACCAUGGCACCUUAACACUUCCGGAAUUGCACAGUUGGAUCGCAUCCCUUGUGCCUGGCCGGCAAGGAUCCUGCAUGUUAUUCAAAACAUUGGAUAAGUAAUGAUAAUGAAAAGAAUUCAUUGGCUUUGAAGAAAAUCGAAUCAGAUACCAAUUCUUAUUGAUACAAAACUUAAGCUUUAGAAUGAGUGCUGGAAAUGUACCUUUAUACCAAUAAUAGCCAACAAAACAAGGUUUCGAGGUUCCUUAAUGGUUGUUGGAAGACUUUCCAGUUCACAAGGUUGAUAAGCAAGUGCUGCACAACGCAAUCCUUUGUUGCACAUCUCUUCAAUUGUUCCUUCAAAAAACUAAAGAGAGAAUGGACUCUUAUAUAAUAAACCAAACAAGAAAUAAGAGUGUAUUUUUUAAUUAGUCAUAUAAAUUCAUAAACAAACCUUUCGUUUCUCAUCAUCAAUGCCUCUGGGGUUAUUGGCCCCAUCCAUAUACCUUUCACAUGAACUCAGAAUAGUUUUUGCAGAUCCUUUCCAAUGAGCGUGGGCGUGUGCACCAAUCUAGAAAUAAAUAAUAAGAAGUAAAAAAAAAAACUAUAUAAGAAUCAAACAUAGCAUAAAUAUGCAGGCAGAUUUACAGUCAAACAAUUCCGGAAUAUCUCUGUGUUAAGUGAAAAAAUAGAUAUAUAUCUAUAUGUGUGUGUGUGUGCGCGUAUAUAUCUGUUCAACAACAAUAUAGACAAGGUUACGUUACCUGUAGUGCCACGCCUCCAUAUUUCUUUUUUGGGCUGAAUGGUAUAGUAUGACGGACUAAUGAUGCUGACCUAGCAUGAUUGAAUUUCAUUCCCAACUACAAAAUCGCAUAACUAAGUGUCAUUAAUUAUAAACUUAAUCACUAUAGCAAGUAGUAACGUAAAAUUAGAAAGAAACAAAACCUUAUUCCCAAAGCUAAGAAUAGCUUGUUCUGUUGGUGAUCCAUAAAGCUCUGGUUCAGUGACUCCCUAUAAUUAAUUAUGAACAUACGAAGAAGAAUUCAUAUUAAAAUAAUCAUACUACAGGAAUCUAACCAAGUCAACAGUGUGAUCCAGGACACAAUUACCGUUUCAAAAACAACACUGCCAUUUGUGUUUUGGGCAAUGCCUUCUAUGAUUAGUUCUUUAAGAAACGGGGGCAACUGUGAAACAUUAUCCAUAUCUUGCAUUCUCAUUCCUCCAGCCCAGACAUCAACCACAGACAUCUGCUUAGCAGAAAAUAAAUGCUUAAAAAGUGGGUACUCAAGAAGAAUAAGAGGAAGCAGGAAAGAGCAAAUUGCAUAUAAAAGGAAACAUUUGCCUGAUUCAAAGUUAAAAUUCCAGUUUGAUGACACAAUAUAGUUGUAACAGAUCCCAUUCUUUCAAAUGCAGAGAGUGAUUGCACCUGAAAAACAUGUACAGAAGUUAAGCACUUGUUGAUGCUCUAAUGACAUUGAAAAAAUUGGAAUCUAAAAGUAGAGUACCAAAAGUUUGUCGGUCAUCAUUUUCCUCGUUGUCUUUGCAAGGCUGAUAGAAUGAGGAAAAUAAUAAGAUAAGAAACAAACAGAAACAAUUGUCGUGACAAAAAAAAAACUUAAACUGCAAUGACAAAACUAGAAGCAUGCAUUCUUUAAGGUUAUGCUAUUCUUCGAACAGCAAUAGAGUUUGCAACCAUAUUUGCCACUUUUACCAGAUACCUAGGUAUUCACUAUGCUUUUUCUGAUAUGUAUUAUGUUUGAACAAAUUUUCAAAAGUAAAAGAGACUUACUUCAAGCGAACGGCUAUAGAAAGUCCAAAAGGCACUGCCACUACUAUCGUAGCAAUCUGGAAAAUUAAUAUUUUGGCGACAAGGUUACAAGAAAAGACCAUAUAAUAUUACUGUAGCCAUGAAGAUAAAGUUCAGCAUUCCCGUACCCCAAAACUCAGGGAUGUGAUCACAAAUUCUGUUGCUUCAUCAGCAGUAGUGAUUCCAUAAAUAAACAUUGGAGUUCCAUCUGAUUUUUUGGUCCAACCACUAAAGUAUCUAGAAAUAAAAGGAUUGUUAGGUCCAGGAUGGAGCUGGAGAUCUUAGAUCUGACUGCCGAACAUAAGCACAAUGGGUACUUGUAAAAGAAGAUAGACUUACCGGCCUAAUCGAACACUACAGGCAACUGAAGCGAACAAAACGAAGGACCAGCUGGCAGAAAUCGCAAGCCAUUUCAGGUAUCCCUAGUAAAACGAAUCACAUUUGAUAUAUGAACAAACUAUCAUAGGUAGCAAGGAAUUAGUAGUCAAUAAAACAGACCUGAAAAGGCUUUUCUUCGUCUGUCUCUUGUGGAAUCUCCAUCUUAAACCCCCAUGCAGUGUUCAUUCCAACACUUGUAACCUUUAAAACACGGGGAGAGAAUAAAGUGAAUUAGAAGAUCAUGAACCAUGUACAGAGAAAGCAAGCUCCAAAGCCAGUCUUCUAAUUGAUAAAGAAGAAUUUUUCACAAGAAAUAUUGACCGCGCAAGUGUCAAACUGAAGAGUAAAAUUGGCGUAAUAAUCAGAAACUUGCAUACACAAACCAUAAGAAUUUGCAAGUUGCAGAAACACGGAAAAGCUUCCAACAGCAUAGGCCUCAUCUUUAAUAAAAGUAGCUAUAAUAUCAUCUAUGAGAUGGAUGUGUCAAGCAUAAAACAAAAUUAAGAGACGUGGCUCGAGAGCUUACCAGCAUUGUACCUAUGCCAUCUAUCAGUUUUGAGCCAGAUAACAGGAACGGAUUUCUUUGGAGAUCUUUUUGAACCUGCUAAUUGGAAAGAGAAAUUAGAAAUACAGGGGAAGUAAUGAUACAGCUCAUCAACAGGGGAACAGCAUACAUAUUCGUCUGAGCCAGUUAUUUCUUGCUCGUCAACUAUCAAUGAGUUUGCAACAAACAGGACACCAUCUGCAGGUACCUACAGCAUUGACCAAACUUGACACCAGUUGAGCUCAAGAUAUAUAAACCAAACAAUGAUUACUAUUAAAAGUGUGAUGCUUACCUGACCACCGUUCUUGAGGGGUACAAUAUCGCCCACAACAAUAUCAUAAUUAGAAACCAAGAAUCUUCUGCCACUUCUAAUAACCUGCAACCAAAAACGUUCAGCACACAUUGUGGGCAAGGGUAACACCAUACACAAAUGACGAAGACAAGCAUCUGCAGGAACACACCUCUAGGUGUACGUUUCUCUUCUCCUUUCUCAAGAUUUCAAACUGACGAGACUGCUUGUACUCGAUGAUAGCUGCAAAAUGGGUGACAAACAAUAUAAAUCUGGCUGAUUCCAUAUUCUCUCGUCUGAAGACAAGUUUAAAGUUGGCUAAGCAACUCAAGAAUAUCAAAGACUGUACAACGAUACCUCUCACAAUGAUGUAAAGAAGAAUGGCCAAAAUGAUGCAAGCUUCUACGUACCAUCCAUCGAAGAUACCCUGCAAAUGUCAUGAGCGUGAGAUAUAGAAAAUAAGUUCAGACAGAAAACUUGAGAAGAGAGCCACAUAAUAUAAAAAAUAAACAAAAACCAAAGCAGCUGUGUUGAUUUGGGAGAGAAGAGACCAAUGAGACAGAAUUGCAUAAGUAGAUGAAUUCCAAUUACAGUCAGAGCGAGCAGAAAAUGUUAAUGUCAAAGAUGAUUACCAAAAAAAAACUCACCUUUGUGUUAACUCGCAGCAGUGAAAGAAUUACUUGAGCAAGGAAGAUAACCAGGAAAUGAGAAAGCUUGCAAGCUCUCCAGAGAAAGCACUACAACAACCAAUAGAACAAAAAACUGAAACGCAUUCAAACAGAUAAUUUGUAACUUAAGUAAAAACCAAAACUUUGUUAAUCUAAUUUGAUCAUACCCAGAAUCUCUUUCCCUUUCUGGAAGGGUAUGUAUUAGACCCAAAAGUGUUCCUGCGAUGCUGUAUCUCAUCCACACAAGGAUCUAUGCCCGAUUUUAGAUCAGUCUUGAGCAGAGUUGUUAACCCAUGAACCUAUGAAUCAUCAAAAUGGUAAAUCAGAGGAACGAAUUCAUUGAAUCAAAAGAUGAAGUGAUUAAUCACAAGUGUGCUUGCCCCAUUAUAUCGAUUCAAAGCUUCAAGGCUACCACCAUCUUUGACAAGUUGAACGAGUUCGUCCAAUCCAAUCCCAAAUCCGCCAGAAGUUGAAGGUUCUGUGCAAAAGGCCUAGACAUUAGAUUUUUCGGUUUAGUUCGGUUUUGGUUUCCGGUUUAAUAAAAUAGAUUCUAUAGUCCGGUUAGACGAAGAAAACAAGGAAAUAUAGAUAGGUUCACAAGUAGUACCGUUUGCUGAUUGCUCUGCUUCUUGGUCGUCAUCAUCAUGUUGUACAAGCUUAUUACAAAUUAUUGAAUUAAGAAGAUCAAGAUUAGAGAAAGAAACCAGAUCUUAUAUCUACUAAACUGAGAGAGAUAAUUUACGCUUACUGAUUGGUCAUCAGAUGUUGUGUUCCUCCUCAACAUAUCGCUUAUCACUCGAUAAAACGCCAACGCGCGAGAUACUCUCUUCAACGUACCCUGCAGCAAGAUUUAAAAAUUAGGUACGGUUCACCAUAAGUAAUGACCAAUGGUACUGAAUCAAACAAGAUAAACAGAUUUAUUCAUCGUGCAAGUAAUAAACAUAUACUCUUAAAACCAAAAAAAAAAAAAAAAGGUUCAAGAAUCAAACGACGAGAUAAAAGGAUUCAUUCAGCGUGCAAGUAAGAAACGUUUACUUACCCUCCUCCACGAGCUCGGGAGAUCAGUAGUAACAAGACCGGCUUCCAAAUCGCCUGACUCAGCUUCAGGGACAGAGCCACCACCAAGAUCUUCAGGAAGGUGUGGAACGGCAACAUCAUCAUUUGAGUAGCCGCCGGCGGCGGCGAGACCAACCUCUAUAUCUCCCGGACCUCCUUUGGGAUUGGAUGGCCUCUUCCAAAACCUGAACAUUGACAACUCAAAUACUACCAUUGAAAACGUACUCUGUUUCGAUAUGGUUAUUGUGUGCGGGACUAGACUGAUCUACGGAUAAUGCGGAUCAAAGGAAAGAAAUCAAAAACUUUUGAGAGACAACCAUGUUUUUUUUCCGGGGAUAUUAGAAACGAUGUUUUUUGGUGUGUGAAGAGAAUGUAAAGGGAAGAGAUGAGUAAUUUAUAGAAAGAAAGGUGGGUGUCGAUGGAUUAAAGCAAAAACUGACGGUAAAUCUACACCGUACGAUUAGGUGAAGUCGACGGAUAAAAAUUAGUUGAAUAAAAUAAAAGGAUAUUUUCAUUUCUGACUUCGACGGCACUCUCUUGUUCUGGAAGGAUAUAAGGUUUGUGAAGACUGAAGAGUAAACUAUUCGAGAAAAAAAAAAAAAGAGUAAACUAUUCGACGUUACUAUUUGAUGAAGAGUAAACUUUAUGAUGAAUGAUGAAUGAUGAAUGAGAUAAAAAGAAACCAGGUCUUAUAUAAGAUCAAGAUUAGUGUAGUGUAUCGCAUAACAAUAGCUCGACUGGUUAAAACGUCUCCACCAAUGCCCAAAGUUCAAGUCUUUUUCUAAUUUUUCCUAACUUUUGUUUUCCUUAUGAAAAAAUUUCCGUAAUUGUUUCUUUUAUCUUUUAUAAACUUCAUAAUUUUCUUCAGAUGUUUUAUCCUCGCUAUUGGUUUUGAUUCAUUUCUAAAUCUUCUGUUCAGAUUUUUUUUCUUUUUAAUUACAUGUAUCUUUGAUACAUUGUUUUAGGGGAGAAUUGAAAAUAAAGGAGGAUUAUAUGAUGAUUUAUCCAUAUAUGCAUUCUAAAUUUUAGAUUGUUGACAUAUGCUUUCUCAAAAUUAAAAUCUUAUUUUAUCCUUAAUGUUUAAAAAAAAAAAAUAUUCCUUAAAUAAUUUGAUUUGUAAUUUAAUUUGUUUCCCUAAUCUUUUUUUUUAACACUGAAUUUGUAAUUUAAUUUUUUUUUUAUCAUAGUAAUUGUGAUUGACUUAAUAUGCAUGUUAAUUUCGUGUAGCUACACCAUCUCGAUUUACGAAAUUGCUUGAUGAGUCAAUACAAAACUGGGGUCGAGAAUCGCCACCGCUAAAAAUCUACAGGUCGAAAAUAAAUGUGAAACAAAUAUGAUUAAGUAUUAAAAAUUCUUAAAUAAACAGAAUACAAAUUCUAAAAUUCGCAGACGUAAUCUAAACCAAAAUAUUCAUUAUGUUUAAUUUCCAAUUUUAUUUCCUUAAUUUUCUUAAUUUUUUCGUUUUUUUAAAAAAGAAAUUCUAGAUUACACCGAAGUUAUGUUCCAAUUUACGUAGAAUAUAAGCAAAAACAUAAGAAUGUGUUUUCUAAUUUUUUUAGACGAAGAGUAUAUAUUAGACAAAAUAUUCUAAUUUUCGUAGAACAUAGAGUAAAUUAUAGAAUACGUAUUCUAGAUUUUAUAGAAAUUGCGAUUCUAAUUUUUUCAGAACAUAAUCCAUUUCUAACUUUUCUAGAACAUGAAUAGUGUAUAGAACACAUAAUCUAAAUUUCAUAUAACAUGUUCAUUGUAUUGAAUACGUAGUCUAAACUUCAGAAGACGUAUUCUAACCAUUUUAGAUCGAUUUUUAUCAAUAAAAAAUGAUCACAAAAACCACAUAUUAUCCAUAUUAUAUGCUUUCUAAUAAAUAUUUCAUCAUUAUUCACAAUUUUUCUUUGAAAAAAUUAUUUAAAAUUAAUAAAAAGGGUAGUUUAGGAAUAAUUAAUUUUCAAUUUUAGAAUGCAUAUAUGGACAAAUGUUCAUAUAAUCCUCCUUUAUUUUCAAUUCUCCCUUGUUUUAGCAAUGCGUGUAUAGUCUGGUCUGCUUUGAAAACAUUUAAAAUCAAAUGCUAUACUCUAAACAUUUCUAAUACUUUAUGCGACCAAAUGAUGUUCUGAACUUCUGAUAUGUGAAAAACGGCUAUGGUUACUAUAUUGUACUAUGUAUGGUAAAAACAAUAAGAAGAACAUUCCCGAACGAAAGUAUAAGAUGAGUGUACCAAGUAAAGAUACAAAUUGAAUCACAAGAAUAUUCGUUUCCUUCCUACGCGUAUUUUUCUUGGGAGGUUAAAAGAAUAUGAAAAGAAAUGACCUGGAUUUUGUCCCUUUCUAAAUGGAUAUAUCUAUCUAUUAUAUUUUAUGUAGUUAUUCCAAUUCGAUGGUUAUACUUAUAUGCAUUUGGACUAUAAAAUAAAACAAAUGUAUUAACAGUAGUUUCGAUAAACUGGAUAAUAGUGUAUGUAUUGUAAUAUAUAUAUAUAUAUAUAUAUAUAAUAUUUCCUUUCGUAAUUUUUAUUAAAAAAAAAAACUAAUAGACUAAACUAAAACUGGUACAUUUCGAAACAAAAUAGACUUUUUUUUUUUUUUUGUCAAACUAUAAUUAAACAUUCGAGUAAGACAGUAUUGGAAAAAUAUGUUUCUUCAAUAAAAAAGAAAGAAAGUGAAGGAAAAACAUGUGGAGAGGCCCAACGGGCAACGGUCUGCUGUUUUCUUCGGUUCGUGCUGCCACCACCUCUCUUUCUUUGACUCGACUUUCUUCCCUCUCGUCGCUUUUCCUUAUCAUUUGGAUUCACUAAUAGUAUUGGUAGAUCAUUAACAAUUAUAUUUCUCUAGUCGACACUAAAUUUAUAAUAAUGAUAUAACUCACAAAUGACUCAUAAACACAUUCGCAACUCAACACGUCUUCAUCUUCCAAAUACUUGUCAAGUUGUCGUCACCACAGAAUCUACUGAUUUCUCUUUUUCUUGUGCCCACCAACUGGCCAAAGCGUGGGGUGUGAUUGGUAAAGUAAUAGAAUAAUAAAGAUAUAAAUAGUAGUACUAUUUGUUUAAAAUCCCCAACAUUGCAACCGCCUCAACUUUCUCUUUUUCUUUUUAAUUUGUUGUUAAAUCAGAAAAUGAGACUUUUAAGGAAAUGAACAAGACAGAGAAAACCAUUAUUUUAUCAUAAUAAUAAAAAAUAUCACAAAAGUCACGCUAAUAACUACUCAAGAGAGUAGUGUAUAUGUUUAUUUAGAGGGAAAAGAACACGAACUUUUAUAUAUAUGCUUGAAGAGAUACAAGAACAUUACUAUAGUUCAAUGUAAGCAAUUGUAUUCAGGUCCUCUUUCCUCCAUUAAGGUACAUUUUAAUGGUUAGGUACAUUUCCAAUUUUUUUUUAUAACAAAAAUACAAUUAAUUACUAUUAUUAUCCCAUAAUAGUCUAUCAUCAUUUAUGAAGUGAUAAGCGUAAAUGAUUUUUUUAAGUCAAUUAGAUUUUGUAUUUAUUAGUUAUCCUAUAACAAAUUAUAGCGUAUUUAUAUAUCUGUGACUAUAUCCAGUUAUCCACUUUGGUCCACCUACUUCAGUUUUGUUUGACAGAUAUAUAUAAAUAAAUAGAUAUUUCAUUACUAUGAUGACAAAGCAUGGGUCUACCAUUGGUCCGUCUACCAAUGCUUUUAUUUAUUUUAUUGAAAUUAAGACUUUUUGAACCAUGUUACUCACUCUGUUUUGAAUUUGUUAGGUGCACAUAAAAGGGAAUCUAUAGGCGGUAACCACAGAUGAGUUGGAAAUUAACUGACAGGAUUUUGUACUAUUUGGCCAUCGACUGUAGCCAAAAAAUGACCAAUAAACCCCUAUUUUUCUAUGAUCUAAUAAAAGAGAUAUAUGCAGGAAAAGUAGCUGUGUGUCAGAACAAAGAUAUCAUAUCUCUCCAAAGAUUUGAUUUUCGAUACUUCUUUAAGAAUAAGAUUUGUAUUGUAUUAAUCAUGAGAACGGUGAGAAAUCGAAGGAUCGUGUUUUUUGGGCUCUAUAUCAACUGCUUUUUAUUUUUUUUCUCAGUGUUUUCAAUUUUCAUCUAUCUCCGAAUUUUUUUUUUUUUUCUCCGAUAUUCAUAUCGAUUCUUCGAUCGAGUUGCUGCUCGUUUACGAUUAGUUCGUCAAAGUAAGUAUCUCAAUUAAACUUUAUUUUUGUUUAAUGUUUUCGGAUCUAUGUCGUAUUUUUGUUCUUAGAUUGUUUUUAUUUCUGGGUUUUAUAGAUGGGAGAUACCUUCAUCAUUGUCUAAUCGGUGGUGGUGGAGAAAGGGCCACUGUGUACUACAAGAUGAAAAUUUUUAGAGGCAUCAUCGACUCGUUGGAAGAAGAACGAAAUUCAGUUAAUCAGAGAUUCAUCGCUUGGUCCGCCAGUGAUCUUUUCAAUUACGAUAAAUCUUCCAAUGAUCUUCCCCACUAACUGUUUCCUUCAACCUUGUCUACCCCGCUAUCUCCUAUGAUAAUGUUUAUUAUUUUUGUUACCUUUUUCUAUUUCAUAGAUUCUUAAAGCUUUUUAAGGUUCGCUUAUUUUAAUGGAAAGACGCUUGUUAUCGUCUAUUUUGUUUGUUACCCUACUAGUUAAACUUUACAUUUGUAACAUUUUAUAUUACUGAUUCACCGCUUCUUAUUUGUUGCAUUACUUACCUUCUUUAUUGGUCUUGCAUUUCGAUAUUGUGUUCCUAUUUUUGGAUAACGUAGUUAACCAUUGUCAAAUUUGUUGUUAGCCGUUGAUGUUGUUACCCGCUACGUUCUUAAUUAUCUAUCAGUAUCUGACUUCAUUGUGUGGCUGAACACACAUUUCGUAAUGGCUACAAGGUUUUACAUAUGUGUUAACGGCUAAUGGGUUUAUUACCUUAAUGAUAUAACAUUUCCUAAGUGAAUUUGAUCUGCCUUUUCUUAACCCGAUAACGUAUUUACCCGUAACUUAUUUAGAAGUCCUUUAUUCAUUUUAUUAGAAAAACGCUUGUUAUCGUCUACUUUGUUUGUUACCCUAGUAAUUAUACUUUACAUUUGAAUAUAACUGCGCACGGCUAUUAGGUUUUACAUAUGUGUUAACGUCUAAUGGGUUUAUUACCUUAGUGUUAUAACUCUUGAUAAGUGAAUGUGAUCUGCCUUUUUCCAAGCCGAUAACGUAUUUAUCCGUUAUAUUAGUUAGCCGAUAACUUAUUUAGCGAUCGUACCUGUGAUAAUGUUUAUUAUUUUUGUUAUAUUUUUCUAUUUCAUAGAUUCUUAAAGCUUUUUAAGGCUCACUCAUUUUAAUGGAAAGACGCUUGUUAUCGUCUACUUUGUUUGUUACUCUACUAGUUAUACUUUACAUUUGUCACAUUUUAUAUUACUGAUUCACCGCUUCUUAUUUGUUGCAUUACUUACCUUCUUUAUUGGUCCUGCGUUUCGAUAUUGUGUUCCUAUUUUUGGAUAACGUAGUUAACCAUUGUCAAAUUUGUUGUUAGCCGUUAAUGUUGUUACCCGAUAUAUUCUUAAUUAUCUAUUAGUAUCUGACUUCAUUGUUUGGUUUUAUAAUUCAUUGUUUUCGUCUUGAAAGAUCUCAAGUUAGCUUUUAGAGAUUGUGUGAGACGUAGGGUUAUUUUCGUCAUAAUUCCGUGUGUCAGAAAAUAGAGAAUUAAUAACGUUAUUUUGGUUCCCAGAUCUUGUAAUAUCUCUUCUUCUAUGGAUUAAUAUUUUGUUCACCCCACAUAAAACAAGAGUAACAAAUGUAGUUCACAGUGAUUUUAAGCUUAAAAUCGUGUAAACGUGUAAAUUUAUUUGAUCAGAUUUAUCAUUUUACAAGUUUGAAGCAAUUCACAAGUUCAAAUGAUUAUAACAACAUGUAUUUUUCACGAAUUUCGGCACAUUUGUACGAUGUAACCAAAUGCCAAGAUAUGAUGGAACUUUCCAUAUUGCUCUGGUAUUUUCUUACAUACUUAUUUUUUUUUUUAACUAGAGAAGGGUAUCAUAAAGAAAAACACAGAUUCCAAUAAAACCAUGGAGAGAGUGAGCAACAAAAGAAAAAAAAAAAUGAAAAUCCUAACAAAUCAACCAAACAAUCCUAAAAUUCCACUUAAAUCACUCAAAAUCUAAAUCCCAUCAAAUCUUUUAAAAUCAUGUUGAUUAUGUGACCAACCAGGUCACAAAGUACAAUAUUAUAUAUAAAGAUACAUAGUGAUUAGUGCUUGAGGUAAAUUGUAUUAACUAUUUAAAUUUUUAAAGUAUUUGGUACUUCUCGACUUCUGAAUUGAGUCAUGCGUUUGUAUGGGUGGAAAAGAAAAGUUGAGAAUGAUGUGAAUCAGUACCAUAAAAUUUAUGUUGUGGGAAUUUGGUAGAGGUCCCAAACUCAAAAGAUUUACAUAGUGGUUGAUCAUUGAUUAUAUAUAUAACCCGAGACCUUACAAUGAACGUCCUUUUUACAGACACCACUCACAGUUAGAUAAGGCUAUUAGAUUUGGACGUAGCUAGCGUGGACAAAAAAACCCAAAUCUCUCUAUAUUCUUUCACCGAUAAGCCUUUAAGCCAUUUCAACUUUCCUUCUGUAAAUAAUGCAUCAUAGAUUUGGUUAGCUUUCUAUACAACUUGAUCCAAUAAUGUAUAUGAUUGAACGACAGUAAAUUAUACAUCUGAAUGAGAUUAAUGAGUUUUGAGUUUGAUUAUAGUAUCAAAGGUCUUGGUACUAGGAUUCAAAUCCAAGAUUAAUGAUUUUUAUUUUUACUUGUAAAAUCGACAAAAAUUUUGAGUUGACAUUUAUUUUCGUUUGGGCCGAGACUAUAUGAUUAAUGGGCCCAUAGAUAAGUUUCGUCUAAAAACGGCGUCGUAGUCGGAAAAGAUUAGACCCUCGGACUGACCUAGAUGGAUCAGAAGUUCUUUAACCGUUUCGUUAAGGGAACGAAGAAGCCGAAAACUUUCUCUGCGCUCUUCUUCUUCUUCUUCUUCUUCCCCAAAAAAAAACCCUAAUUUCUAGAUCCAUCUCUAAGAAACUCUCGUCGUUCCUCUUAAACAUGGCUUCGAAGCUCCCGUUGCAAAACAUCGACAACGCCAAUGUUGCGAAGGCUCCGGCAUCAUCGCUAGCUUCCGCUGGGAAUACAAUUGAGCAUAUCCUACUUUGUCCUGAUUCUUAUAUAGGAUCGAUUGAGAAACAUACCCAAACGCUUUGGGUUUAUGAGAAGGAAGAGAUGGUUUGUCGUUCUGUUACUUAUGUUCCUGGAUUGUAUAAGAUCUUUGAUGAGAUCCUUGUGAAUGCUGCUGAUAAUAAACGGAGAGAUCCGUCUAUGGAUUCUGUCAAAGUUGUGAUCGAUGUUGAGAAGAAUCAGAUUAGUGUGUGUAACAGUGGUGAUGGAGUUCCUCUUGAAGAAGGUGUUUAUGUGCCUGGGAUUUUUUUUGGUCCUUGGUUGAGUAGGAAUUACAAUCAUCCUAUAUCCAGAGCAAAUCAUUUGAGACAGAAAAUCGGUAUGGUCACAUAUCUACCACACAUAUUUAAUCACAUAAACGUUAAUUUAUUCGUUUGUGAUUGUAUAUCGUGUAGGUCUAGGAUUCGGAUGGAAUACCCUUAUUUUAUGUAUUUUCGUUUAGGUAUUUAAUUUUUUACAUAAUUAGUUGAAGUUAUCCAUAUUUUCUUUAUUUUCUCAAUAUUUCACUAUGUUUUAGAAAAUACCCAAAUUUCCCAAAAUUUCCAUCACGAAAUAAACUUUACCCGUCCCAAAAUAUUUUAUUUGGCACAUGAUAUGCUAGAUAAAUUGAAAGAAACAUUUUUAAUAUAUGGUUGCAAGCAAUGUAUUUUAAUUGUAAUAUGUUAUACAACAUUUUUUAGGAAUUCUCAUCCCAUCCCGUUCAAAAAGUCAGUUUCAAUAUUUAGGAUUAACACACUAUUAUAAUCUUAACAAUAUGUUUGCGAAUCAAAAUAUUAAAUAUAGAUUCGAGUUAUAUGCUUGAUUUUUUUUUUUUUUUUUUUUAUCUAUAAUUAGAGUUUUAUUUGGCAAGUAUAAUAACUGUUGUGAUAUGAUUUCGUAAACUAAUUUAAGAUUUGAUUUAAUCGUAAACAGUUCUAUUUUCUAUUUUUAUUAUUUCGAAUAUAUUAUUAUCAAUUGUUAUGGAAACAGCUUAUUAAAUCAUAACAGUAAAUUUAGUUUGUUUGAUUUUUGGAUAGAAAAGACAGAAAAAUCUUUUUGAAUAUAUAUUGUUAAUGCUCCAACGAAAUAAAUAAAUAUACUUUUUGAAUAUAUAUUUUUGACCAAAAGAAAAAUGCUCAACAAAAUAAUAUAUAUAUAUAUAUAUAUAUAUAAUUUUUAAAGUUUGUUAGUUUUGAGUGAUUCCCAGUUAAUAAUAUAGAUUUUUUAAAUUUUAAAGAAUCAUUUAAAGUUUUUGAUUAUUAAAUUAUUAUUUCCUAUGUUCUAAACAUGUUCUACCAAUAAUCACUAACUUUACAAAAGUUUUUAUUUAAAGAUUUUACAAUUUUUUAAUAAUUAUUUUUCCCUAAGAACUAUCUCUGAAGAUUAACCCAUGCAUAUGCCCUAAGGGAACGAAGAAGCCGAAAACUUUCUCUGCGCUCUCUUCUUUUUCUUCUUCCCCAAAAAAAAAACCCUAAUUUCUAGAUCCAUCUCUAAGAAACUCGCGUCGUUCGUCUUAACCAUGGCUUCGAAGCUCCCGUUGCAAAACAUCGACAACGCCAAUGUUGCGAAGGCUCCGGCAUCAUCGCUAGCUUCCGCUGGGAAGACGAUUGAGCAUAUCCUACUUUGUCCUGAUUCUUACAUAGGAUCGGUUGAUAAACAUACCCAAACGCUUUGGGUAUGAUGGAUUGAGUUAUCUUUAAAAUAUCUGUGCUUUGCUUAUUAUAUAUGCAUGUUCUGAUGUCCCUGUUUUCCCAUUCAGCCUGGCACUCAUAUUUUUCCAUCGAUGGUUGAUGACCUCACGCUUGAAUACUAUGAGAAGAAAAAGGUUAGUUUUUUUUUUUGAGGUUUUACUUAUUAAGGCAAUGAUCUAACAUUAACUGUGUUGUGAUGUGUACAGGAAACUAUGCUGAAGAAUCUGGAACUUGAGCUGCUGAAACUAGAGAAAGCUGAUGAUCAGAAGUUGAGAGAAAAAUGGUUCACAGAAAUCCUGGAAAAUGCCAAGCCUGUCGAAGCAGCAGUUGCUGGAGCAACUAAUGCAGCUGAAAAAAGCUCAUACUAUAAUUACCUAUUGCAAUUGUCUGUUUUGAUUACAGAUACAGUACAAGAAGUAAGGGCACAGAGAGAUCAAAUGAUGGAUGCAGUUGAAGACUUGAAAAACGCCACACCGGAAUCCCUCUGCCUCAAAGAACUAGAGGUAAGGAUGCACAAUGCUAAGCCUUAUUUAUAACGCUUCACAUUAGGAAAUUACCACAUUUUGUCAUUGAUACAUCUUUUCCUCUUAUCGCAGGAACUUGAUAAGCAAGAUGCUCAACCCGAUGAAGAGAGACAGGCGCCAAAGAAACCGGCACCAAAGAAAGCCAGUGAAUCUGUAACAAAAGAGGCUUCAAAUUCAGCAAUGGACACAGGUUAGUCUUGUGCUCAAAUUGUUUUUCAUUGUGUUGUUUUUCUAGGUUUGAUCUAAUAUAACAGUAAGCUGUUAAUAACAAUCACAUUUUUGACAUAGAAACAUUGAUCAAACAGAACUGCUUGCAUUGCAUGUAAUGCCUGUCCUGAAGUUUAGCCUUUUCUUUUUCUGUGUCAACAGAAACAACUGAAACAGCGAAAGAAAUUUCUCUGGAUGACGAUGAUGACGACGUGGUAGUGUCCCCGGAGAAGAAAGUGAGGAAGCUGAGAUCGUCUCCGUUUAACAAGAAGAGUAGUUCAGUGAUGAGCAGGUUGGCUAAUAAGGAAGAGGAGAGCAGCGAGAAUGCAGCUGGAAACUCAUCGUCAGAGAAAUCUGGAGAUGUUUUUGCGAAUAGGGGGUAUGUGUGGUGGAGUGAUUCGGAGAGUGAAUCUGGGAAUGAGUCUGAGUUUGAUGACAUUGAAGACGAUGAAGAUGAUGAGUAGAGUUAGAGAGAACUAACUCGGUUGUUGAUAAUGAUUCAACUUAAUUUCAAACUUUAGUUUCUCCCUCUCGUCUUCUUUAGAGUUUGGUGUUAUUAUUCUGAUGAAAGACUUAUUUUCUCUAAGGAUUGGCACAAAACUCUGUUUUCUCUAUUGAUUAUGCAUUUAGUUUCAUUAAUCAUUUUCUUCUCUUUGGUUGGUCACAGUUGGUCUCAUUAAUCAUAUGGAUCUUUUGGUUUUAGCAUAAAUAAGCGAGAUUGUGUAUGAUGGCACAAUCUAAUUUUGGUCAUAUUUUUUCAAGUCAGUUAGCUUUAAAAGUAAUUUGGGGAUUAUUUCUAUGAUUCGUUAACGUAUGUAAUGUAUGUAUGUUUAACCACAAAAAUGGGUUUAUUAUCUAUCUUAGGUUGGCUAACUUCGUAACAUCUUACAUCAAAAUUCAAUAACCACACUGAUUCGAUAAUUACCUUAAGUCCAUGUAUGGAGAACAAGGUUCAAAUUGAAGUGACUCCUAAUAGAUUAACACGAAUAAAGAGGCCUCACGGAGAUGAAUUGACACAAACCAUUCUUUUAGAGGUCACAAAACAUCAAGACUAUUCUAGUUUUAUUGGCCUUUCGGUUUAUGAAAUAUAACACAAGUCCAAUUUUAUUUAAACAAAACUUAAAUUCUGUGUUUCUUCUCAUAUGAGUACAAAAAUUUCUCAAAUCAGGUUAGUAUGAUCAUAUCACAUACGUCUCCAAGCUAAAUUCUCUACAAAUCUCUUUCGUUUCUCAGUAGGAAGGGAACACAAACCAAGUUCUAUUGAUUCUUCUUAGUAGUGGGAGUGAACGACGGAGUAAACGAUUUAGAGCUCUGGAUCUGAUCAUCUUUCGACGUUUUGAUUAUAAACAGAAGUGUUUCCACAAGCAUCGCCAAAACUAGUCCAAGAAUCCCACCAGCAGCACUCUGAAAGGAGAAAACGAAACAAAUCCGAAACAGCCAUGAUUUAAAAGUCCCCUUAACGGUAGUGGGUUUCUUAAGAAAAAUGACAAAAUGAGAGAUACACAAAGCAUACCAGAGCGGGGUUGCGGUUGAAUAAAGCUCUGAAAGAAGCGUAUCCAACCAAAUAUCCAGUGAACAUGGUAAGACCCACGUGUAAACCUAUAAAAUGAGAGUGAAAGAGAACAAAAACCUUCAGUGACCUGUGUGUAAAACUGUAAUCCGGGAACCGAACGAAAAUGCUUACCAAAACCGAGCUGGUCUUUGUAAGAGGAGAAUGGCUCUUCGACUUGUUUCUUGGGUGUUAUAUCUUUAACAAGCUCAGCAUACUCCUUCCUCUCUGCUAUUUCUUUCAGCUUCAGUAAUCUCAUUUUCAGUUCUUCGCUCUACCAAGAGAGAAAUCAGAUCAAAUUACAACAUAAACUCACAUUGAAAUGGCCAAACGCGAAAAGGCUUAAACAUAGUUGGGAAAAAAACUUCAAACAAGGAAACAAGAAGCAUCCUUUCUUCGAUAAAGCUCAAAUAUCCCAAUCAACCAAACAGAAUUCUGCAAAUUUGUAUCAAACAAAAACCACGAAACACAAAUGUGAUCACUUUUGAGAUUACAGGAUUAGAAGAAAUCUUGCAUGAAUUCCUCUAAAUUACCAAAAGACAAUAACUUUUGUUGCUGGAUUCUUCGGGCACGAUCAGUAUCAUCUAAUAUAAUCUCAUUCAAUUUACAGCAAAUCACGGAGCAUGAACAGAAUCUAAUCUACAAUAGAGAAUCCAAGAGCUCACAACAAAUAAACACGAGUAAGGAUACGAAAAUCCCCAGAAAGAUUGUAAAUUGAAUGAGGAUUUAAUGUGAAUCGCGGUUCGUGUACCUUUUCUCUUGGUUUGGGACUGGUGAAGACGAAAUCGGAGCCGGAGAAAAGUCCCAAUAAACCGGGUCUCGUCAACGGAUCGGAUCCGGUCCAUAUAGCGCGGAGCAAUUUGUAGGAAACGGUGUUCUUCGAGCUAAGAUCGGAAGCAAUUCCUCUGAGUUCCUCGGAGAGACGAAGAUCACCGGACGCGAUGGCGAGAAACGACCGCAUCGGUUCAGUGACGGAGAGAAUCAGACCAGCGCCAUUUUUCGGGUCGGGUUGAUCCAUCUUUAAUCGGGUCCAAACAGUGACGUUGUUCAAAGACAGAGGUCGACGUCCAAAAAAUAUAUCCGGAUUAGGUCCCUGUGGUUUACAAUUAUCAAACAAAUGUCCUAUAGUUUAUUUUAUUGCAAUUAAACCUGAUUCACGCUCCCUUCCAAUUUUUGUUGCGAUGUAAUCUGCUACGUGGCGUAACCCUAGCACGUGUGACUUACUCGAAUCACGGAUUACGUGUGACUUACUCGAAUCACGGAUUAAUGUGGGGGUAUUAUUGUAAAUAUGAAAACUUACAAUGGUGGUUUCAGGAAAAGUGAGUCGGUAAAAAUAUUAUAUUGGGUCUUUUUCGUUUCGUCUUCUCCAAUAAUGGAUCUCCUCCUCCUUCUCCUCUCCAUUUCUGUUAUUUUCCCUAGAAAAAUCCGCAAACCCUAGAGAGAGAGAGAAAUCAAAAUCUCCAUUCUGGAUUGGGCCAAGGAAAGAGAUAAUCUAUCUCCUUCUCUGAUCCGAUCGAGAUCGCAGCAUUUUUAUCUUUGUUGCGAUUACGAGAGAAUCCGAAUGCAAAACCUAAUGAUCUCUGUUUUUGUUUCUCUUUGAAUUUUGCUUCGAAUCUCCAUUGAAAUCUGUAUACAGAAGGAUGAUUUCAAAUCCAAGUUUAUUGUCUUACACUUGCAUUGCGAAAGGAACCGUAGUUCUCGCUGAGUUCGUUUCCAAGGAAGAGCCAGGAAUCGAAGCUGUAGCUUUACGAUGUAUCGAGAACACGCCUCCACAUCAUUCAAUGUUCUCUCAUACAGUUCACAAGAAGAGGUACACAUUCGCAAUCGAUGAUGAUUCGUUUGUUUAUUUCGCGAUUUUGGAUGAAAGUAUGGAGAAACCUGAAUCAUUCUGGGUUUUGAAUCGUCUGAGAUCAGCUAUUGAAGAUCUGAUUAGAGACGGUGGAUCUGAUGUUGAAACGUUGAUUAAUCCGGUUUCGCACUGUCUUCAAUUGAAGAUUGAUCCAAUUUUCGCUGAGAUUGUUGGUGUUGUUGAUUUGGAAUUGGAUAUGGAUUUGGUUGGAUCACCGAGGAGUGUAGCGAGAGAGAGUCGGAAUCCGAGUAUUGAUUCGUCUAAAGGAAGAAGAGCUGCUUUGAUGCCACUUUUGGGGAAGCCAUUGAAGGCGUUGAAGAAGAAGAAGAGAUUGCAUAAUGAAGCAAAAGGAGAAGAUUCUUGUGAGGUUGGUUCGAUUCAGGAGAUAUCAGAGAAGAAUGUUGAUUUAUGUGGGAAUGGUAACAAUGGAGUCUUACGCAAGGAACUGAGAAAUGGUUUGUUGAGUGAUCAUCAUCAUAGACAAAAGGCGAAACAGAUAUGGAAGAAACAUGUUUGGGUUGUGUUGAUGUUUGAUUUCUGCAUCUGUGCUGUUUUAUUUGGAAUCUGGCUUUGGAUUUGUGAAGGGUUUCAAUGCAUUCAAGGGUAAAAGUUAUCAUCAUCUGUGUACAUCUCCAAAUUCAUAUUGUUUGAAUCUGCAUCAAAAUUUGAUCAUUGACAUCUUCUUUUUUCUGGGUAUUCGUUUUUUGGAUCAAAUCUGAUCCCUUUUUUUUCUCUGUUAUUGUCAAUUUUUUUCCAACUUCUUUAUUUUAAAAUCACAAAAAGUGUUGUUUCCAGGAGGAAACUAGGGUAUAGGUUGAAUCCUGGCUUACAUGUUAGUGAUGUUGUUCAUUGUAUUUUGGAAGUUAAAUCAUUCACAAGCAAAAUGUGUGUGUUGUAUUGUCUCUUUUUUUCUUUCUCGUUUUUCUUUUGUUGUUUGAUUCCAUAAAUGGUGCUGUGAUUGAACGUGGGUUACACAAUAAUAGAGGACAACAAAAGAUGGUCUCAGAUACAGUCGCACGUUAAUUAUUUUACUAGAUAUAUACGUUGCAUCUAUAGUCGGCGUAUUUAAAAAUAAUAUUCCAAAGAAAUAUACCAAAAUGAAAGUGAAUCUAGUAGUAGUUAAUCUUAUGCUGUAAAUCUGUAACAGUCUUAAGGCUUAAGAGUAGAAAAGAUGAUUACAUUACAGACAUCAAAAGUGAAAGAGGAGGUUUUGCAAAUAAUAAAGGGUGAAAGUGUUAAAUAUGUGUCUCUGUCUCGGUCUCAGCCACAAGGUGUGAGUUUCUUGUUACCUGCACCACGAGGAUUAUCGUCCUUCCAAUCAUCAAAAGCUCUAGCUUUCAUUACAGCUUCUUCGUCUUCAUCAUCCUCUUCCUCGUCUUCUUCCUUUCUUCUUAGAGGUUUAUCAUUGUACCAUGAUGUCGUUGCUUCUUCAAUGGCUUUUUUCGUCUGCUCUUGCCAAUCAUUCAUUAUGUUCAUCUCUGUUAACCCAGCAUCCUCUAUGCACAUUGUUGGCAUCCUACAAAAUCCAAGUUUAAUCACCAUUCUAAAAAAUCUCAAAAGAAUUGUGAUGAGAAUGAUUUUUUGUUUACCUGUGACUUGGUUGGAAAACCUGAGCUAUCAUCCUCUCUCUCUCGGUAGAGAGCGGUCCACCCA
rnacentral:lncRNA from 1 species